GUCCAUUAAUACCUGACAAUGGUAACCUCGAAGGGCAUUAAAUCGCUUAUACCAUGGCCAUGUUGGUUACCUAU